rnacentral:rRNA from 1 species
GAAUAUUGGUCAAUGGUCGCAAGACUGAACCAGCCAUGCUGCGUGCAGGAAGACGGUCCUAUGGAUUGUAAACUGCUUUUAUACAGGAAGAAACCCUCCCACGUGUGGGAGCUUGACGGUACUGUAGGAAUAAGGAUCGGCUAACUCCGUGCCAGCAGCCGCGGUAAUACGGAGGAUCCAAGCGUUAUCCGGAAUCAUUGGGUUUAAAGGGUCCGUAGGCGGCCUUAUAAGUCAGUGGUGAAAUCCCAUCGCUCAACGAUGGAACUGCCAUUGAUACUGUAGGGCUUGAAUUAUUGUGAAGUAACUAGAAUAUGUAGUGUAGCGGUGAAAUGCUUAGAUAUUACAUGGAAUACCAAUUGCGAAGGCAGGUUACUAACAAUUGAUUGACGCUGAUGGACGAAAGCGUGGGGAGCGAACAGG